UACAGAGGUCUCAAGCGUUGUUCGGAUUCAUUGGGCGUAAAGGGUGCGUAGGCGGCGUGGUAAGUCGGGUGUGAAAUCUCGGAGCUUAACUCCGAAACUGCAUUCGAUACUGCCGUGCUUGAGGACUGGAGAGGAGACUGGAAUUUACGGUGUAGCGGUGAAAUGCGUAGAUAUCGUAAGGAAGACCAGUGGCGAAGGCGGGUCUCUGGACAGUUCCUGACACUGAGGCGCGAAAGCGUGGGUAGCAAACAGG
rnacentral:rRNA from 1 species